UAAAUACUGAUUCUCCGAGCUGAAGUACCUAAGGGAUCUUAAUCCUAUGGUGUUCAGCCGGUAGGAAUACGGGGAAACCCGUUUUCCUCCCGUGCUUGGAAAGGAGAAUAUAAACAUCAACU
rnacentral:ncRNA from 1 species